rnacentral:pre_miRNA from 1 species
AGUUUUAUCAUACAUGGAUAAUUUGCAUUAUGAGUUUUAUCCACAUAUGAUAAAACUCU